CUACGGGAUGCUGCAGUGGGGAAUAUUGGACAAUGGGGGAAACCCUGAUCCAGCAAUGCCGCGUGUGUGAAGAAGGCCUGCGGGUUGUAAAGCACUUUCGGUUGGGAGGACUGCUUCUAGCACUAAUAUUGUUGGAAGUUGACGUUACCUUCAGAAGAAGCACCGGCUAACUCCGUGCCAGCAGCCGCGGUAAUACGGAGGGUGCAAGCGUUAAUCGGAAUUACUGGGCGUAAAGCGCGCGUAGGCGGCUAGAUCAGUCGGGUGUGAAAGCCCCGGGCUUAACCUGGGAACUGCAUCCGAUACUGUCUAGCUUGAGUACAGGAGAGGAGAGUGGAAUUCCACAUGUAGCGGUGAUAUGCGUAGAUAUGUGGAGGAACACCAAUGGCGAAGGCAGCCCUCUGGCCUGAUACUGACGCUUAGGUGCGAAAGCGUGGGGAGCAAACAGGAUUAGAUACCCUUGUAGUC
rnacentral:rRNA from 1 species